rnacentral:rRNA from 1 species
GAUGAACGCUGGCGGCGUGCUUAACACAUGCAAGUCGAACGGAAAGGCUCCUGCUUGCAGGGGUACUCGAGUGGCGAACGGGUGAGUAACACGUGGGUGAUCUGCCCUGCACUUCGGGAUAAGCCUGGGAAACUGGGUCUAAUACCGGAUAGGACGAUGGUUUGGAUGCCAUUGUGGACAGUUUUUUCGGUGUGGGAUGAGCUCGCGGCCUAUCAGCUUGUUGGUGGGGUAAUGGCCUACCAAGGCGUCGACGGGUAGCCGGCCUGGGGGGGUGUACGGCCAAGUGGGGAGUGGGGUAGGGCCCAGCGCCCCAGGGGGGGCAGCGGCGGGGAAAAUUGCAGAAUGGGGGGAACCCCGUUGCCGCGCCGCGGGGUGGGGGAGGAGGCCCUCGGGGUGGGAAGCCCCUUCCGCUGGGGAGGAAGCGCAAGGGGCGGUACCGGAGGAAAGAGCACCCGGUAACGAGGG